rnacentral:rRNA from 1 species
CCCAGACUCCACGGGAGGCAGCAGUGGGGAAUAUUGCACAAUGGGGGAAACCCUGAUGCAGCAACGCCGCAUGAGUGAGGAAGUAUUUCGGUAUGUAAAGCUCUAUCAGCAGGGAAUAGAAAAGAAGGUACCUGAAAAAGAAGCCCCGGCUAACUACGUGCCAGCAGCCGCGGUAAUACGUAGGGGGCAAGCGUUAUCCGGAUUUACUGGGUGUAAAGGGGGCGCAGACGGCAGCGCAAGCCAGGAGUGAAAGCCCGGGGCCCAACCCCGGGACUGCUCUUGGAACUGCGCGGCUGGAGUGCAGGAGGGGCAGGCGGAAUUCCUGGUGUAGCGGUGAAAUGCGUAGAUAUCAGGAGGAACACCGGUGGCGAAGGCGGCCUGCUGGACUGCGACUGACGUUGAGGCCCGAAAGCGUGGGGAGCAAACAGGAUUAGAUACCCCUGUACG